rnacentral:rRNA from 1 species
ACGGCCGGGUAAUACCGCAUGCGCUCUUUGAGGGGCAUCCUUGUGAGAGCAAAGUCUUCGGACGCACUGGGAGGGGCUCGCGGCCUAUCAGCUAGAUGGUGGUGUCAUGGACCACCAAGGCGACGACGGGUAGUUGGUCUGAGAGGAUGGCCAGCCACAUUGGGACUGAGAGACGGCCCAGACUCCUACGGGAGGCAGCAGUGGGGAAUCUUGCGCAAUGGGCGAAAGCCUGACGCAGCGACGCCGCGUGCGGGAGGACGGUCUUCAGAUCGUAAACCGCUGUUGCCCGGGACGAAACGCUCUUUCGAGAGCAUUGACGGUACCGGGUGAGGAAGCACCGGCUAACUCCGUGCCAGCAGCCGCGGUAAUACGGAGGGUGCGAGCGUUGUCCGGAAUCACUGGGCGUAAAGGGCGCGUAGGCGGCGCGAGGAGUCGGGGGUGAAAGUCCGGGGCUCAACCCCGGAUCGGCCUUCGAGACUCUCGCGCUGGAGCACAGUAGAGGCGGGUGGAAUUCCGGGUGUAGCGGUGGAAUGCGUAGAGAUCCGGAAGAACACCGGUGGCGAAGGCGGCCCGCUGGGCUGUGGCUGACGCUGAGGCGCGACAGCGUGGGGAGCAAACAGGAUUAGAUAUCCUGGUAGUCCACGCCGUAAACGAUGGGCACUAGGUGCCUGGGGGAGCGACCUCCUGGGUGCCGGCGCUAACGCAUUAAGUGCCCCGCCUGGGGAGUACGGCCGCAAGGCUGAAACUCAAAGGAAUUGACGGGGGCCCGCACAAGCGGUGGAGCAUGUGGUUUAAUUCGACGCAACGCGAAGAACCUUACCUGGGCUUGACAUCUUGGGGAAAGGCUCGAGAAACCGAGUCCCCUCUUCGGAGUCCCAAGACAAGUGCUGCAUGGCUGUCGUCAGCUCGUGUCGUGAGAUGUUGGGUUAAGUCCCGCAACGAGCGCAACCCUAAUCGAAUUCCCGCGGCC